AUUGAACGCUGGCGGCAGGCUUAACACAUGCAGUCGAGCGGGGGAAGGUAGCUUGCUACCGGACCUAGCGGCGGACGGGUGAGUAAUGCUUAGGAAUCUGCCUAUUAGUGGGGGACAACAUCUCGAAAGGGAUGCUAAUACCGCAUACGUCCUACGGGAGAAAGCAGGGGAUCUUCGGACCUUGCGCUAAUAGAUGAGCCUAAGUCGGAUUAGCUAGUUGGUGGGGUAAAGGCCUACCAAGGCGACGAUCUGUAGCGGGUCUGAGAGGAUGAUCCGCCACACUGGGACUGAGACACGGCCCAGACUCCUACGGGAGGCAGCAGUGGGGAAUAUUGGACAAUGGGGGGAACCCUGAUCCAGCCAUGCCGCGUGUGUGAAGUAGGCCUUAUGGUUGUAAAGCACUUUAAGCGAGGAGGAGGCUACUUUAGUUAAUACCUAGAGAUAGUGGACGUUGCUCGCAGAAUAAGCACCGGCUAACUCUGUGCCAGCCGCCGCAGUAA
rnacentral:rRNA from 1 species